rnacentral:rRNA from 1 species
UAGACCUGCUGUGCCACCAUGAAUCUGCCUAAACUCAUCUGUUCUCUGGAGUAAAGCAGGGUUGGACCAUGUUGAAUUGCAGAUCACCUGGGACCACCACAUGCUGUAAGUUUCU